rnacentral:tRNA from 1 species
CAGUAAAUAGUUUAUUAAAAUAUUAUUGUAAUUAAGAAUGGGUUGCUUUUUACUGA